rnacentral:rRNA from 1 species
AGAGUUUGAUCCUGGCUCAGAUUGAACGCUGGCGGCAGGCCUAACACAUGCAAGUCGAACGGUAACAGGAAGCAGCUUGCUGCUUCGCUGACGAGUGGCGGACGGGUGAGUAAUGUCUGGGAAACUGCCCGAUGGAGGGGGAUAACUACUGGAAACGGUAGCUAAUACCGCAUAACGUCGCAAGACCAAAGAGGGGGACCUUCGGGCCUCUUGCCAUCGGAUGUGCCCAGAUGGGAUUAGCUAGUUGGUGAGGUAACGGCUCACCAAGGCGACGAUCCCUAGCUGGUCUGAGAGGAUGACCAGCCACACUGGAACCGAGACACGGUCCAGACUCCUACGGGAGGCAGCAGUGGGGAAUAUUGCACAAUGGGCGCAAGCCUGAUGCAGCCAUGCCGCGUGUAUGAAGAAGGCCUUCGGGUUGUAAAGUACUUUCAGCGGGGAGGAAGGGGAUGUGGUUAAUAACCGCAUCCAUUGACGUUACCCGCAGAAGAAGCACCGGCUAACUCCGUGCCAGCAGCCGCGGUAAUA